rnacentral:rRNA from 2 species
UACGAGGGGAGCUAGCGUUGUUCGGAAUUACUGGGCGUAAAGCGCGCGUAGGCGGCUUUUUAAGUCAGAGGUGAAAGCCCGGGGCUCAACCCCGGAAUUGCCUUUGAAACUGGAAAGCUAGAAUCUUGGAGAGGUCAGUGGAAUUCCGAGUGUAGAGGUGAAAUUCGUAGAUAUUCGGAAGAACACCAGUGGCGAAGGCGACUGACUGGACAAGUAUUGACGCUGAGGUGCGAAAGCGUGGGGAGCAAACAGG